rnacentral:rRNA from 1 species
GGAGUUAGCCGGUGCUUCUUCUGUGAGUGAUGUCCUUCCUGCCGGCUAUUAACCCGCAGGCCUUCUUCCUCACUGAAAGUGCUUUACAACCCGAAGGCCUUCUUCACACACGCGGCAUGGCUGGAUCAGGGUUGCCCCCAUUGUCCAAUAUUCCCCACUGCUGCCUCCCGUAGGAGUCUGGGCCGUGUCUCAGUCCCAGUGUGGCUGAUCAUCCUCUCAGACCAGCUACGGAUCGUCGCCUUGGUGAGCCGUUACCUCACCAACCAGCUAAUCCGACAUAGGCUCAUCCGAUAGCGCGAGGCCCGAAGGUCCCCCGCUUUCCCCCGUAGGGCGUAUGCGGUAUUAGCCUGGGUUUCCCCAGGUUAUCCCCCACUACCGGGCAGAUUCCUAUGCAUUACUCACCCGUCCGCCGCUCGCCACCAGGGAGCAAGCUCCCCGUGCUGCCGCUCGACUUGCAUGUGUUAGGCCUGCCGCCAGCGUUCAAUCUGAGCUAGAAUCAAACUCUGA